rnacentral:rRNA from 1 species
AGAGUUUGAUCCUGGCUCAGAUUGAACGCUGGCGGCAGGCCUAACACAUGCAAGUCGAGCGGAUGAGUGGAGCUUGCUCCAUGAUUCAGCGGCGGACGGGUGAGUAAUGCCUAGGAAUCUGCCUGGUAGUGGGGGACAACGUUUCGAAAGGAACGCUAAUACCGCAUACGUCCUACGGGAGAAAGUGGGGGAUCUUCGGACCUCACGCUAUCAGAUGAGCCUAGGUCGGAUUAGCUAGUUGGUGAGGUAAAGGCUCACCAAGGCGACGAUCCGUAACUGGUCUGAGAGGAUGAUCAGUCACACUGGAACUGAGACACGGUCCAGACUCCUACGGGAGGCAGCAGUGGGGAAUAUUGGACAAUGGGCGAAAGCCUGAUCCAGCCAUGCCGCGUGUGUGAAGAAGG